AUGAAUGUUUGUACUAGUAGUAAAAAAGUGGUAGCGGUGGGAGUAGAAGCAAGCAAAAGAAGAGAAGCGGUCGUACCUGGACAAGAUGCCAAACCAGGUGGAAAGGGGGAGGCACGAGUGCAUUGCCUUUUGCCCGCUUUCCAAUUCCGCUCGCCCUCAUCACCUCACCUCACGGGGUGGCCACAGCGAUUUACCUGUGGCGCCCCGCCCCACUCCCUUUUCUGUUUUAUAGCACCCCCUGCCCGCCUGCGUCCUCGGUUUUUCUCCGCUGAGCUUUCCUUCAACCCCGCUCAACUCCCGUCCUUCCUUCCCUCCCUACAAAUCUGGUCUGCUGGCCGCUGUUCGCCGCGGCCGCCGGGUCUCUCGCGCUCGCGCAACUGCCUCAAAACCCUAGCCACCCCUCGCGACCCAGUCGAUUGGAUCGCCCGCUUCCUCCUCAUCCUCCACCCACACCCAAGGGACCACUGA
rnacentral:rRNA from 1 species